rnacentral:rRNA from 1 species
CGCAUUAAGUACCCCNNNNNGGGAGUACGGCCGCAAGGCUAAAACUCAAAGGAAUUGACGGGGCGCCGCACAAGCGGCGGAGCAUGCGGAUUAAUUCGAUGCAACGCGAAGAACCUUACCUGGGUUUGACAUAUAUCGGAAACGUUCAGAGAUGGGCGCCCCGUAAGGUCGGUAUACAGGUGGUGCAUGGCUGUCGUCAGCUCGUGUCGUGAGAUGUUGGGUUAAGUCCCGCAACGAGCGCAACCCUCGUCCAAUGUUGCCAGCGGGUUAUGCCGGGGACUCAUUGGAGACCGCCGGGGUCAACUCGGAGGAAGGUGGGGAUGACGUCAAGUCAUCAUGCCCCUUAUGUCCAGGGCUUCACGCAUGCUACAAUGGCCGGUACAAAGAGUUGCGAGCCUGNNNGGGUGAGCGAAUCUCAAAAAGCCGGUCUCAGUUCGGAUUGGGGUCUGCAACUCGACCCCAUGAAGUCGGAGUCGCUAGUAAUCGCAGAUCAGCAACGCUGCGGUGAAUACGUUCCCGGGGCUUGUACACACCGCCCGUCAAGUCAUGAAAGUCGGUAACACCCGAAGCCGGUGNNNNNNNCCGUUUGGGGGGGAGCUGUCGAAGGUGGGACUGGUAAUUAGGAGUAAGUCGUAACAAGGUAGCC